rnacentral:lncRNA from 1 species
UGUUUCCUGUGUUUUGGAAAGGAUGAUGGGCAGAGGAAGAAGGCUGCCACAGUGUUCCACCCAUCCUUACUGACAGACACGUACUGGGAGGUGCAAAGCCCACAGCUGGUGCUGCAGCUCAGGUAGAAAGGAAGGCAGGCAGCAGAUAGUUUGAGAAUCAUCCCACCUGUUGCCUGCCUGAACCAAGAACCAGAUCCUAGAGGAGGACUGUGCCAUACUAGUUGGUUGCAGAUCUACUGGGAUCCUAAUAUUGAGAGAGAUCUAACAGGUAGGUAAAAAAUGGAAUUUAUUCAAGGUGCUGAGACUCUUAAAAGAGAAGACUGUUAUUGCCCCUUCUGA